rnacentral:rRNA from 1 species
CCCUUAGAUGUUCUGGGCCGCACGCGCGCUACACUGAUGCAUUCAACGAGCCUAUCCUUGACCGACAGGUCCGGGUAAUCUUUGAAUCUGCAUCGUGCCGGGGAUAGAUUAUUGCAAUUAUUAAUCUUCAACGAGGAAUGCCUAGUAGGCGCAAGUCAUCAGCUUGCGUCGAUUACGUCCCUGCCCUUUGUACACACCGCCCGUCGCUCCUACCGAUUGGGUGUGCUGGUGAAAUGUUCGGAUCGGCCGUUUGUCGCGGUUUCCGCGUCAUGUGGCUGAGAAGUUCAUUAAACCCUCCCACCGAGAGGAAGGAGAAGUCGUAACA